CCUACGGGAGGCAGCAGUGGGGAAUAUUGCACAAUGGGGGAAACCCUGAUGCAGCGACGCCGCGUGAAGGAAGAAGUAUUUCGGUAUGUAAACUUCUAUCAGCAGGGAAGAAAAUGACGGUACCUGACUAAGAAGCCCCGGCUAACUACGUGCAAGAAGCCGCGGUAAUAAGUAGGGGGCAAGCGUUAUCCGGAUUUACUGGGUGUAAAGGGAGCGUAGGCGGUUCAGCAAGUCAGAAGUGAAAGCCCGGGGUUCAACUCCGGGACUGCUUUUGAAACUGUUGAACUAGAUUGCAGGAGAGGUAAGUGGAAUUCCUAGUGUAGCGGUGAAAUGCAUAGAUAUUAGGAGGAACACCAGUGGCGAAGGCGGCUUACUGGACUGUAAAUGACGCUGAGGCUCGAAAGCGUGGGGAGCAAACAGGAUUAGAUACCCUUGUAGUC
rnacentral:rRNA from 1 species